AUUGAACGCUGGCGGCAGGCCUAACACAUGCCAGUCGAGCGGAUGAAGGGAGCUUGCUCCUGGAUUCAGCGGCGGACGGGUGAGUAAUGCCUAGGAAUCUGCCUGGUAGUGGGGGAUAACGUCCGGAAACGGGCGCUAAUACCGCAUACGUCCUGAGGGAGAAAGUGGGGGAUCUUCGGACCUCACGCUAUCAGAUGAGCCUAGGUCGGAUUAGCUAGUUGGUGGGGUAAAGGCCUACCAAGGCGACGAUCCGUAACUGGUCUGAGAGGAUGAUCAGUCACACUGGAACUGAGACACGGUCCAGACUCCUACGGGAGGCAGCAGUGGGGAAUAUUGGACAAUGUGCGAAAGCCUGAUCCAGCCAUGCCGCGUGUGUGAAGAAGGUCUUCGGAUUGUAAAGCACUUUAAGUUGGGAGGAAGGGCAGUAAGUUAAUACCUUGCUGUUUUGACGUUACCAACAGAAUAAGCACCGGCUAACUUCGUG
rnacentral:rRNA from 1 species